rnacentral:rRNA from 1 species
GACGAACGCUGGCGGCGUGCCUAAUACAUGCAAGUCGAGCGGACAGACGGGAGCUUGCUCCCUGAUGUUAGCGGCGGACGGGUGAGUAACACGUGGGUAACCUGCCUGUAAGACUGGGAUAACUCCGGGAAACCGGGGCUAAUACCGGAUUGUUGUCUGAACCGCAUGGUACAGACAUAAAAGGUGGCUUCGGCUACCACUUACAGAUGGACCCGCGGCGCAUUAGCUAGUUGGUGAGGUAACGGCUCACCAAGGCAACGAUGCGUAGCCGACCUGAGAGGGUGAGCGGCCACACUGGGACUGAGACACGGCCCAGACUCCUACGGGAGGCAGCAGUAGGGAAUCUUCCGCAAUGGACGAAAGUCUGACGGAGCAACGCCGCGUGAGUGAUGAAGGUUUUCGGAUCGUAAAGCUCUGUUGUUAGGGAAGAACAAGUGCCGUUCAAAUAGGGCGGCACCUUGACGGUACCUAACCAGAAAGCCACGGCUAACUACGUG